rnacentral:sRNA from 1 species
GCGGAGGAAAAGAAACCAACAGGGAUUGCCUCAGUAACGGCGAGUGAAGCGGCAACAGCUCAAAUUUGAAAUCUGGUCCCCUCUGGGGGCCCGAGUUGUAAUUUGAAGAGGAUGCUUUUGGCGAGGCGCCUUCCGAGUGCCCUGGAACGGGACGCCACAGAGGGUGAGAGCCCCGUAUGGUAGGACGCCGAGCCUCUGUAAAGCUCCUUCGACGAGUCGAGUAGUUUGGGAAUGCUGCUCAAAAUGGGAGGUAAACCCCUUCUAAAGCUAAAUAUUGGCCAGAGACCGAUAGCGCACAAGUAGAGUGAUCGAAAGAUGAAAAGCACUUUGAAAAGAGAGUUAAACAGCACGUGAAAUUGUUGAAAGGGAAGCGCUUGCGACCAGACUUGCGCCCGUCGGAUCAACCGUCCCUCGUGGGCGGCGCACUCCGGCGGGCUCAGGCCAGCAUCAGUUUUCCUGGGGGUAGAAAGGCGGUGGGAAUGUAGCUCUUCGGAGUGUUAUAGCCCGCCGCGUAAUGCCCUCGGGGGGACUGAGGACCGCGCGUAUGCAAGGAUGCUGGCGUAAUGGUCGUCAGCGACCCGUCUUGAAACACGGACCAAGGAGUCGUCCUAAUAUGCGAGUGUACGGGUGUAAAACCCCUGCGCGUAAUGAAAGUGAACGGAGGUGAGAGCUUCGGCGCAUCAUCGACCGAUCCUGAUGUUCUCGGAUGGAUUUGAGUAAGAGCAUAUUGGGCCGGACCCGAAAGAAGGUGAACUAUGCCUGUAUAGGGUGAAGCCAGAGGAAACUCUGGUGGAGGCUCGCAGCGGUUCUGACGUGCAAAUCGAUCGUCAAAUAUGGGCAUGGGGGCGAAAGACUAAUCGAACCUUCUAGUAGCUGGUUUCCGC